UAUACCGCGUCAGCUUCUCGAAGCCUGUAAUGCGCUCCAAUUAGCGAUGCGUCCUUCCCUCUCCUACGACUCAGUCUAAUUGCUCUUCUCCGUGUCCCUUGACAAUGAGCACACCAUGAGUGUCAUUUGUACCUCUGUGUGGAGUAGGAAGGGCUCAAGUUCAAGGUCCCUGGUGGGGAACCGAGGCAAUUUCAAGUUCACGGACAUCCUCGGCAAUCACCAUCAACAACUCGUCAAGGAAACAAGACCUUGGCCCUGUUGGAAAAGCAUCCCAGUCAUGCAGGCACGGCUUGCAGAUUCUGCCAAAGGUUUCGCAUCCUGUGUUCUUUCGAAUGAGCCUCAACGUUCACGCCAGCAUCCAGAGGACCUGUCACAGCACCUCUGACGUUCCUUGACCAGAGGCAAGUGUUCAGGUCCCAGCUCUGCCACCACGUGAGGGCUGGGCAGGUCGUCUUUCCUCCUGGGCUUCAGUCCCCUCAUUUGUAACUGCGCACCCCUCUGACAUCCCUUGGUGCUGCCCAGGGCAGGAUAAAGGACCCUGCGGGAUGGAUGAGACCCCGCUUCUGCUGGGGUUCCGAGAAGACAGCGUCCAUCUCAGGACAUCCUGAGAUGGGUCCCGGGGAGAGUGACGCCUUGAGGUCGCGAGGGACUUGUGCGGGACUCACAGCCUCUGAUGGAACAGCAAACCUUCAACUUACCACAAGUUCCUGUUUGGGGUGGGGGACCCCUCCCUCGCCAACGGGCACUUGAAACAGCGAGUAGCCCCCAGUUUGCCUCUAUAAGUAUGUACGGAAUGAACAACUGUGCAAACCAGUGUGGUCACAAAACCACCUUGGCUCGGCAAGAAUGACGCGCUUCUCGACACGAGGGUUUGUGGCAAAUGCGGAGCCGACCCUCCGGUCGUCCCUCAGCUGCAGCCUCUCACCUCCUCGCGUCUUGCCUCCCGGGGUGGAGGGUGGAGGGAUGGUCUUUCUCCUCCUCUCUCCCCGCCUCUCCCCUCCGCUCCCAGCCAGUUCCCUCACCCGGGGAGAGGCUUUCCCGGCUGCCGCCUUUUCUGCAGUCCCUCAGCACAUCCCCGUUCUUCCAUCGAUCCCAGGCCAGUUUUAAAGGGCAACCUGUACCCACAGCCUGAAACCGCCACCGCUCGCGAAACGCGUGGACCCGUCCU